UACGGAGGGGGCUAGCGUUGUUCGGAAUUACUGGGCGUAAAGCGCACGUAGGCGGCUUUGUAAGUUAGAGGUGAAAGCCCAGGGCUUAACCCUGGAAUUGCCUUUAAGACUGCAUCGCUAGAAUCGUGGAGAGGUGAGUGGAAUUCCGAGUGUAGAGGUGAAAUUCGUAGAUAUUCGGAAGAACACCAGUGGCGAAGGCGACUCACUGGACACGUAUUGACGCUGAGGUGGCGAAAAGCGU
rnacentral:rRNA from 1 species